UAGUUCCUACGGGGGGCAGCAGUGAGGAAUAUUGGUCAAUGGACGAGAGUCUGAACCAGCCAAGUAGCGUGAAGGAUGACUGCCCUAUGGGUUGUAAACUUCUUUUAUAUGGGAAUAAAGUUUUCCACGUGUGGAAUUUUGUAUGUACCAUAUGAAUAAGGAUCGGCUAACUCCGUGCCAGCAGCCGCGGUAAUACGGAGGAUGCGAGCGUUAUCCGGAUUUAUUGGGUUUAAAGGGUGCGUAGGCGGGCUUUUAAGUCAGCGGUAAAAAUUCGGGGCUCAACCCCGUCCGGCCGUUGAAACUGG
rnacentral:rRNA from 1 species